GGGGGAAAAAUUAAUAAAAAAUAAUUAAUAAAAGAAUUUUUAAUAUUGGGGGAUAUUAAAGUAUUUUUUUUAAAAAAAAUAUUAAUUUUUAUAGUAAAGUAGUAUUGUAAAAUAAAUUUGAAAUAAUUGAAAAUAAAUUAGAAAUAAAGUAAUUUUAAUUUAAUGUAUCUUGAGUAUCAGAGUUUAUUAAAAAAUGUUUUUUAACAAAAAAAAUCUCGAAUUUAAAAGAGUUAAUUAAUUAAAAAAAUUAAUGUUGAAUAAUUAUUUUAAAUAAUUAAUUAGAAAUGAAAUGUUAAUCGUUUUUAAAUAUAUCUAGUUUUUUUAGAAAAAAAUUAAAUUUAAAAUUUAAAAAAUUUUAUUAAAAAAUAUUUUUUAAUAAAAUAUUUAAAAUUUAAUAUAUUAAGGGAUAAGCUUUAAUAUAAAUAUUUAUAAUUAAUUAGUUUAUAAAAAUAAAAAUUUUAAAAUUUAUAUUGUUUAAAAAUUAAAAUUUUUUAUAAAAAAUUUUAAUUAAAAUAAAAUUUAAUAUAAUUUAAUUUUUUAUAAAAAAAUAAUUUUUAAUACAAAAAAAUUAGAAAUAAUGAUAAAAUUAGUAUAUUUAAAUUAAAAAUAAUAAGAUAAAUUUAAUUUAAAUUAAAGGAAUUUGGCAAAUAUUUAUAUUCACUUGUUUAUCAAAAACAUGUCUUUUAGAAAAUAAUUUAAAGUCUAAUCUGCCCACUGAUAAAUUAUUAAAGGGCUGCAGUAUAUUGACUGUACAAAGGUAGCAUAAUAAAUAGUCUUUUAAUUGAAGACUUGUAUGAAAGAUUUAAUGAAAUAUAAACUGUCUCUGAUUUAAUAAUAGAAAUUAAUUUUUUAGUUAAAAAGCUAAAAUUUUUUUAAAAGACGAGAAGACCCUAUAGAGUUUUAUUUUACUAUUAUUUAAGAUUAUAUUUAUAAUUAAAAAUUAAAAUUAAUAUUAAAAUUUUAUUGGGGUGAUAAAAAAAUUAAAAUAACUUUUUUUAAAUUUAUUAACAUAAAUAAAUGAAAAUUUGAUCCAUAAAUUAUGAUUAAAAGAAAAAAUUACCUUAGGGAUAACAGCGUAAUUUUUUUUUUUAGUACAAAUAAAAAAAAAAGAUUGCGACCUCGAUGUUGGAUUAAGAUAAAAUUUAAAUGCAAAAGUUUAAAAGUUUUGAUCUGUUCGAUCAUUAAAAUCUUACAUGAUCUGAGUUCAAACCGGUGUAAGCCAGGUUGGUUUCUAUCUUUAAAAUAAAAAAAUAUUUUAGUACGAAAGGAUCAAAUAUUAUUAAUAAUUAAAUUAGUUAGAAUAUUAAUAAAUUUUAUAUAA
rnacentral:rRNA from 1 species